GACGAACGCUGGCGGCGUGCUUAACACAUGCAAGUCGAACGGAAAGGCCCUGCUUUUGUGGGGUGCUCGAGUGGCGAACGGGUGAGUAACACGUGAGUAACCUGCCCUUUACUUUGGGAUAACUUCAGGAAACUGGGGCUAAUACCGGAUAGGAGCUCCUGCUGCAUGGUGGGGGUUGGAAAGUUUCGGCGGUUGGGGAUGGACUCGCGGCUUAUCAGCUUGUUGGUGGGGUAGUGGCUUACCAAGGCUUUGACGGGUAGCCGGCCUGAGAGGGUGACCGGCCACAUUGGGACUGAGAUACGGCCCAGACUCUUACGGGAGGCAGCAGUGGGGAAUAUUGCACAAUGGGCGGAAGCCUGAUGCAGCAACGCCGCGUGCGGGAUGACGGCCUUCGGGUUGUAAACCGCUUUCGCCUGUGACGAAGCGUGAGUGACGGUAAUGGGUAAAGAAGCACCGGCUAACUACGUG
rnacentral:rRNA from 1 species